GCAGAUGGUAGCGAUGGCAGCAGCGCCGCCGCCACAACAGCAUCCGCCAGCCAGGACUGUAAAGCCAGAAUCCCCAAAAUCAAAACCAAGACCGAAUACUGAAUUAAAAGACGGUACUCCAAAGAGGCAAAAACAGUGCAACUGCAAACACUCACGGUGCUUGAAGUUGUAUUGUGAAUGCUUUGCAUCUGGAACAUAUUGUGAUGGGUGCAAUUGUGUAAAUUGUUAUAACAAUGUUGAAAAUGAAGCUGCUAGGCGAGAAGCUGUUGAAGCCACUUUAGAGCGGAAUCCAAAUGCAUUCAGGCCAAAAAUUGCUAGCAGUCCACAUGGAACACGAGAUAGUCGGGAGGAGAAUUUGGAAGGAUUAGUGUUGGGAAAGCACAACAAGGGAUGUCACUGCAAGAAGUCUGGAUGCCUUAAGAAGUACUGUGAAUGUUUCCAAGCUAACAUUCUUUGUUCUGAAAAUU
rnacentral:misc_RNA from 1 species